GCCGCCUUAGCUCAGUGGUAGAGCAGGGCAUUUGUAAUGCUCAGGUCGGGGGUUCAAAUCCCUCAGGCGGCU
rnacentral:tRNA from 2 species